rnacentral:rRNA from 1 species
UACAGAGGGGGCAAGCGUUAUUCGGAAUUAUUGGGCGUAAAGGGCGCGUAGGCGGCUUGGCAAGUGGAUGGUGAAAUCCCUCGGCUUAACCGAGGAACUGCCGUCCAAACUGCUUUGCUUGAGGCCGGGAGAGGUGAGUGGAAUUCCCAGUGUAGCGGUGAAAUGCGUAGAUAUUGGGAGGAACACCAGUGGCGAAGGCGGCUCACUGGACCGGUACUGACGCUGAGGAGCGAAAGCAUGGGGAGCGAACAGG